rnacentral:rRNA from 1 species
GAGAACGCUGGCGACGUGCUUAACACAUGCAAGUCGAACGGUGACGAAUGGAGCUUGCUCUGUUCUGAUCAGUGGCGAACGGGUGAGUAACACGUGAGUAACCUGCCCCUGACUCUGGAAUAACUUCGGGAAACCGAAGCUAAUACCGGAUAUGACACAGAGCCGCAUGGUUUCUGUGUGGAAAGUUUUCGGUUGGGGAUGGACUCGCGGCCUAUCAGCUUGUUGGUGAGGUAAUGGCUCACCAAGGCGACGACGGGUAGCCGGCCUGAGAGGGUGACCGGCCACACUGGGACUGAGACACGGCCCAGACUCCUACGGGAGGCAGCAGUGGGGAAUAUUGCACAAUGGGCGCAAGCCUGAUGCAGCAACGCCGCGUGAGGGACGACGGCCUUCGGGUUGUAAACCUCUUUUAGUAGGGAAGAAGCGAAAGUGACGGUACCUGCAGAAAAAGCACCGGCUAACUACGUG